UACGCAGGGGGCAAGCGUUAUCCGGAUUUACUGGGUGUAAAGGGAGCGUAGACGGCGAAGAAAGUCUGAAGUGAAAGCCCGCGGCUCAACCGCGGAACUGCUUUGGAAACUUUUUUGCUGGAGUACCGGAGAGGUAAGCGGAAUUCCUAGUGUAGCGGUGAAAUGCGUAGAUAUUAGGAGGAACACCAGUGGCGAAGGCGGCUUACUGGACGGUAACUGACGUUGAGGCUCGAAAGCGUGGGGAGCAAACAGG
rnacentral:rRNA from 1 species